rnacentral:rRNA from 1 species
AUGAACGCUGGCGGCGUGCCUCAUACCUGCCAGUCGCGCGAACAGACGAGGAGCUUGCUCCUCUGACGUUAGCGGCGGACGGGUGAGUAACACGUGGAUAACCUACCUAUAAGACUGGGAUAACUUCGGGAAACCGGAGCUAAUACCGGAUAACAUGUUGAACCGCAUGGUUUAACAGUGAAAGACGGUCUUGCUGUCACUUAUAGAUGGAUCCGCGCCGCAUUAGCUAGUUGGUAAGGUAACGGCUUACCAAGGCAACGAUGCGUAGCCGACCUGAGAGGGUGAUCGGCCACACUGGAACUGAGACACGGUCCAGACUCCUACGGGAGGCAGCAGUAGGGAAUCUUCCGCAAUGGGCGAAAGCCUGACGGAGCAACGCCGCGUGAGUGAAGAAGGUCUUCGGAUCGUAAAACUCUGUUAUUAGGGAAGAACAAAUGUGUAAGUAACUAUGCACGUCUUGACGGUACCUAAUCAGAAAGCCACGGCUAACUACGUG